AUGACAUCGGACACUCUCCAUGGUUAUUUUACGCUUGUCAAUAAAAGUGGUUGUAGUCCGUUCUUGAUCGUGGCUAUUGAUAAAGUAGCGGAGUGGAUGACAUGUCCGAGAAUAAGUGGGAAUCCAUGCAAUUUCCUGUGAUUCCGCCGUGGACAACGCUGAGCCAAGAUGCUGGAUAGAUGCAUGAUUGGACAAGAUGUGUUGGUGGCUACAUGGAGGACGUGCAAGCAAACGGACCAACCACUUUCAUCAAGCCCUUCAUGUGGAUGGUGAGCAACCCUUUGUAAUUAAUUGCCUUACACGCAG